CACGUAGGGCGCGAGCGUUGUGCGGAAUUACUGGGCGUAAAGGGCUCGUAGGGGGUUUGGCGCGUUGUUCGUGAAAACUCACAACUCAAUUGUGGGCGUGCGGGCGAUACGGGCAGACUGGAGUACUGCAGGGGAGACUGGAAUUCCUGUUGUAGCGGUGGAAUGCGCAGAUAUCAGGAGGAACACCGGUGGCGAAGUCGGGUCUCUGGGCAGUAACUGUCGCUGAGGAGCGAAAGCGUGGGGAGCGAACAGG
rnacentral:rRNA from 1 species